AGAGUUUGAUCCUGGCUCAGGAUGAACGCUAGCUACAGGCUUAACACAUGCAAGUCGAGGGGAAACGAUAUUGGAAGCUUGCUUCCGAUAGGCGUCGACCGGCGCACGGGUGAGUAACGCGUAUCCAACCUGCCCAUCACUUGGGAAUAACCUUGCGAAAGUAAGACUAAUGCCCAAUGACAUUUAUAGAAGGCAUCGGAAAUGAAUUAAAGAUUUAUCGGUGAUGGAUGGGGAUGCGUCUGAUUAGUUUGUUGGCGGGGUAACGGCCCACCAAGGCGACGAUCAGUAGGGGUUCUGAGAGGAAGGUCCCCCACAUUGGAACUGAGACACGGUCCAAACUCCUACGGGAGGCAGCAGUGAGGAAUAUUGGUCAAUGGCGAGAGCCUGAACCAGCCAAGUAGCGUGCAGGAUGACGGCCCUAUGGGUUGUAAACUGCUUUUAUAGGGGAAUAAAGUGAGCCACGUGUGGUUUUUUGCAUGUACCCUAUGAAUAAGGACCGGCUAAUUCCGUGCCAGCAGCCGCGGUAAAACGUAGGUCACAAGCGUUGUCCGGAAUUACUGGGUGUAAAGGGAGCGCAGGCGGGAAGACAAGUUGGAAGUGAAAUCCAUGGGCUCAACCCAUGAACUGCUUUCAAAACUGUUUUUCUUGAGUAGUGCAGAGGUAGGCGGAAUUCCCGGUGUAGCGGUGGAAUGCGUAGAUAUCGGGAGGAACACCAGUGGCGAAGGCGGCCUACUGGGCACCAACUGACGCUGAGGCUCGAAAGUGUGGGUAGCAAACAGGAUUAGAUACCCUGGUAGUCCACACUGUAAACGAUGAUUACUAGGUGUUGGAGGAUUGACCCCUUCAGCGCCGCAGUUAACACAAUAAGUAAUCCACCUGGGGAGUACGACCGCAAGGUUGAAACUCAAAGGAAUUGACGGGGGCCCGCACAAGCAGUGGAGUAUGUGGUUUAAUUCGACGCAACGCGAAGAACCUUACCAAGUCUUGACAUCCUGCGACGCACAUAGAAAUAUGUGUUUCCUUCGGGACGCAGAGACAGGUGGUGCAUGGUUGUCGUCAGCUCGUGUCGUGAGAUGUUGGGUUAAGUCCCGCAACGAGCGCAACCCUUAUGGUCAGUUACUACGCAAGAGGACUCUGGCCAGGCUGCCGUUGACAAAACGGAGGAAGGUGGGGAUGACGUCAAAUCAUCAUGCCCUUUAUGACUUGGGCUACACACGUACUACAAUGGCGUUAAACAAAGAGAAGCAAGACCGCGAGGUGGAGCAAAACUCAGAAACAACGUCCCAGUUCGGACUGCAGGCUGCAACUCGCCUGCACGAAGUCGGAAUUGCUAGUAAUCGCAGAUCAGCAUGCUGCGGUGAAUACGUUCCCGGGCCUUGUACACACCGCCCGUCACACCAUGAGAGCCGGGGGGACCCGAAGUCGGUAGUCUAACCGCAAGGGGGACGCCGCCGAAGGUAAAACUGGUGAUUGGGGUGAAGUCGUAACAAGGUA
rnacentral:rRNA from 1 species